CACGUAGGGUGCAAGCGUUGUCCGGAAUUAUUGGGCGUAAAGGGCUCGUAGGCGGUUUGUCGCGUCGGGAGUGAAAACCUUGGGCUUAACUCAGGGCUUGCUUUCGAUACGGGCAGACUAGAGUGCUGUAGGGGAGACUGGAAUUCCUGGUGUAGCGGUGAAAUGCGCAGAUAUCAGGAGGAACACCGGUGGCGAAGGCAGUUCUCUGGGCCGUAACUGACGCUGAGGAGCGAAAGCGUGGGGAGCGAACAGG
rnacentral:rRNA from 1 species